rnacentral:rRNA from 1 species
GGAUGAGGUGGAGGGUGCAAGCGUUGUUCGGAAUUACUGGGCGUAAAGCGUGUCUAGGUGGAUAGACAAGUCUCGUGUGAAAGGCAACGGCUCAACCGUUGCACUGCGCGAGAUACUGUUUGUCUUGAGAUAUAGAGGGGUGAGCGGAAUUCUUGGUGUAGCAGUGAAAUGCGUAGAUAUCAAGAGGAACAUCAGAGGCGAAAGCGGCUCACUGGCUAUGGUCUGACACUGAAGCACGAAAGCGUGGGUA